UACGGGGGGGGCAAGCGUUGUUCGGAAUUACUGGGCGUAAAGGGCUCGUAGGCGGCCAACUAAGUCAGACGUGAAAUCCCUCGGCUUAACCGGGGAACUGCGUCUGAUACUGGAUGGCUUGAAUCCGGGAGAGGGAUGCGGAAUUCCAGGUGUAGCGGUGAAAUGCGUAGAUAUCUGGAGGAACACCGGUGGCGAAGGCGGCGACCUGGUCCAUUACUGACGCUGAGGCGCGACAGCGUGGGGAGCAAACAGG
rnacentral:rRNA from 1 species